rnacentral:rRNA from 1 species
UCCAGUCAUGCCGCGUGAGUGAAGAAGGCCUUCGGGUUGUAAAGCUCUUUCGGCCGGGACGAAAUCGCAUCUCCUAACACGGGGUGUGGAUGACGGUACCGGAAGAAGAAGCACCGGCUAACUACGUGCCAGCAGCCGCGGUAAUACGUAGGGUGCGAGCGUUAAUCGGAAUUACUGGGCGUAAAGCGUGCGCAGGCGGUUGUACAAGACAGGCGUGAAAUCCCCGGGCUUAACCUGGGAAUGGCGCCUGUGACUGUACGGCUAGAGUGUGUCAGAGGGGGGUAGAAUUCCACGUGUAGCAGUGAAAUGCGUAGAUAUGUGGAGGAAUACCAAUGGCGAAGGCAGCCCCCUGGGAUAACACUGACGCUCAUGCACGAAAGCGUGGGGAGCAAACAGGAUUAGAUACCCUGGUAGUCCACGCCCUAAACGAUGCUGACUAGUUGUUCGGGAUUUACAUCCUGAGUAACGUAGCUAACGCGUGAAGUCAGCCGCCUGGGGAGUACGGUCGCAAGAUUUAAACUCAACCGGCAAUUGCACGGGGGACCCUGGACCAAGCGCGUGCGAUGACUGUGGCUUCAUUCGAUGCAACG